AUGCAUGCAGUCGAACGCUUUGUGGUUCAACUGAUUUGAAGAGCUUGCUCAGAUAUGACGAUGGACAUUGCAAAGAGUGGCGAACGGGUGAGUAACACGUGGGAAACCUACCUCUUAGCAGGGGAUAACAUUUGGAAACAGAUGCUAAUACCGUAUAACAAUAGCAACCGCAUGGUUGCUACUUAAAAGAUGGUUCUGCUAUCACUAAGAGAUGGUCCCGCGGUGCAUUAGUUAGUUGGUGAGGUAAUGGCUCACCAAGACGAUGAUGCAUAGCCGAGUUGAGAGACUGAUCGGCCACAAUGGGACUGAGACACGGCCCAUACUCCUACGGGAGGCAGCAGUAGGGAAUCUUCCACAAUGGGCGAAAGCCUGAUGGAGCAACGCCGCGUGUGUGAUGAAGGGUUUCGGCUCGUAAAACACUGUUGUAAGAGAAGAAUGACAUUGAGAGUAACUGUUCAAUGUGUGACGGUAUCUUACCAGAAAGGAACGGCUAAAUACGUGCCAGCAGCCGCGGUAAUACGUAUGUUCCAAGCGUUAUCCGGAUUUAUUGGGCGUAAAGCGAGCGCAGACGGUUAUUUAAGUCUGAAGUGAAAGCCCUCAGCUCAACUGAGGAAUUGCUUUGGAAACUGGAUGACUUGAGUGCAGUAGAGGAAAGUGGAACUCCAUGUGUAGCGGUGAAAUGCGUAGAUAUAUGGAAGAACACCAGUGGCGAAGGCGGCUUUCUGGACUGUAACUGACGUUGAGGCUCGAAAGUGUGGGUAGCAAACAGGAUUAGAUACCCUGGUAGUCCACACCGUAAACGAUGAGUGCUAGGUGUUUGAGGGUUUCCGCCCUUAAGUGCCGCAGCUAACGCAUUAAGCACUCCGCCUGGGGAGUACGACCGCAAGGUUGAAACUCAAAGGAAUUGACGGGGACCCGCACAGCGGUGGAGCAUGUGGUUUAUUCGAGCACGCGAGACUUACAGUCUUGACAUCCCUUGACACUCAGAGAUGGAGCGUUC
rnacentral:rRNA from 1 species